UACCAGUCAGUCCCGUUGGUCCCCCGCGCUAUCUGCGGCGCUCUACAAGAUCGAUGGUUGGGGCGCGCCGUAUUUCUCUGUCAAUACCUCCGGCAAUAUCUCCGUUCGCCCACAUGGUGCGGAAACUCUGCCGCACCAGGAGAUUGACCUGCUCAAGAUUGUGAAGAAAGUUUCGGAUCCGAAAUCGGUGGGCGGGCUAGGGUUGCAGCUCCCGCUUAUCGUGCGACUGCCCGACGUGCUCAAGAACCGGCUCGAGUCCCUGCAGUCGGCUUUCGACUACGCGAUUCAAUCUCAAGGGUACGAGGCUCAUUAUCAAGGUGUUUAUCCUGUGAAAUGCAAUCAGGACCGGUUCGUUGUGGAGGAUAUCGUGAGGUUUGGGACCCCAUUCCGGUUUGGGUUGGAGGCCGGGUCAAAGCCCGAGCUCCUCCU
rnacentral:lncRNA from 1 species